AUUGACCCUCUUGGGUCACGUGCCCCUACCUGACCAGAACACCGGCCAGCUGGAUAAAGUACUUUGAUGGAUGUAGCUCUGUCCCCCACCCAGUUUUUUAGGCUAUUAGGCAUACAGCUGAUACGAACAUUCAUGUACAAGUCUUUGUGUGGACAUACGUUUUCAUUUCUCUUGGGAAACACCCCACUGAUGCAGAGGUCUGAAAGCUGGUAGUUUUCAUUAUCUAAAAGACAACCAAGAACCAAUAAGCAAGCAAAAAAGGCAUUUGACAGAACGUAACAAGUGUUGGCGAGGAUGUGGAGAAAUUGGAACCUUUGUGCGCUGUUGGUGGGAAUAUAAAACGGUGCUACUGCUAUGGAAAACAGUAUGGAAGUUCCUCAAAAAAUUAAGAAUACAAUUACUACGUGUUCCAGCAAUCCAGUAUAUACUCAAAAGAAUUGAAAGCAAGGAGUGAAAGAGAUAUUUUUACACCCAUGUUCAUAGCAGCAUUAUUCACAAAAGCCAAAACGUGGGAGCAACCCACAUGUCUAUCAACAGAUGAAUGGAUGGACACAUUGUGGUAGACACGUACAAAGGAAUAUUAUUUAGCCUUAAAAAGGAAAGAAAUUCUGACACAUGCUUCAACAUGCAUGAACCUAGAGGAUAUUAUGUUUAGUGACAUAAGCCAGUCACAAAGGGCCAAAUACUGUAUGAUUCCACUUAUAUGAGGUACCUAGAGUAGACAAAUUCAUAGAGACAGAAAAAUAGAACAGGUGGUUGCCAAGGGCUGGAAGGAAGGGGAAAAGGGGAGUUACUGUUUAAUGGGUACAGAGUUUCAGUUUGGGAAGGUGAAAAGAGUUCUGGAGAUGGAUGGUGGUGAUGGUUGCACAACACUGUGAAUGUACUUAAUGCCACUGAACUGUACAGUGAAAAUUGAUUAAGAUGGUAAAUUUCAUGUUAUGUGUGUUUCACCACAACUAAAAAGAAUAAUUAAAAAAAC
rnacentral:lncRNA from 1 species